GAUGAACGCUAGCUACAGGCUUAACACAUGCAAGUCGAGGGGAAACGCUGAGAGAGCUUGCUCUCUUAGGCGUCGACCGGCGCACGGGUGAGUAACGCGUAUCCAACCUACCCAUUACAGGGGGGUAACCUUGCGAAAGUAAGACUAAUACCCCAUGGCAUUUUAUGGUGGCAUCAUUAUAGGAUUAAAGUUUUAUUGGUAAUGGAUGGGGAUGCGUCUGAUUAGCUUGUUGGCGUGGUAACGGCCCACCAAGGCAACGAUCAGUAGGGGUUCUGAGAGGAAGGUCCCCCACAUUGGAACUGAGACCCGGUCCAAACUCCUACGGGAGGCAGCAGUGAGGAAUAUUGGUCAAUGGGCGAGAGCUUGAACCAGCCAAGUAGCGUGCAGGAUGACGGCCCUAUGGGUUGUAAACUGCUUUUAUAGGGGAAUAAAGUGAGCUACGUGUAGUUUAUUGCAUGUACCCUAUGAAUAAGGACCGGCUAAUUCCGUG
rnacentral:rRNA from 1 species